CCCGGAUGGUGGAAUCGGUAGACACAAGGGAUUUAAAAUCCCUCGGCGUUCGCGCUGUGCGGGUUCAAGUCCCGCUCCGGGUACCAU
rnacentral:tRNA from 1 species